rnacentral:misc_RNA from 1 species
ACGAGUUAGGGUCUCUCGAGGCCCGACCUCCCAACCCCAUGUUUAUUGAACCUCUGUUGCUUCGGCGGACCCGUUUCACGACCGCCAGAGGAUUGCCGCGAGGCGUCCUUUGGCCAGCGUCCGCCGGUGGCCAACCACUUAAAACUCUGAAAUGAAUCGUGUCAUGAUGUCUAAGUCUAUGAUUAAAUUUAAAGCA